rnacentral:lncRNA from 1 species
ACUUAAAGCCAAUGUUAUGUGUUUUGGUCUGACUCACACUUGAUACCAUUCACUUAAGUCUUGACUUCAUGACCUUAGAGAAAAAAACCCUAAUCCCCAUGCGGCUGCACCUCCUUCAACCAAUCCCACCUUUGACCCCCACACCUCCUUCAACGACCCUGACCUUCGACAAUGACCACUUCCUUCACGCGAGUCGUGCCUCUUUCAAUGGCGAUAUCUGAAAGUGAUCCCAACCUCUGCGAGCCACCACCCUUGCAAGUCAACGACUGCGCAAGCCACCACCAGUGUGACUCCGCUAGGCACCCCCUAUGCAACUACGUGAGCCACCACCUUCGUCGCACCUCAACAAGUACCCAUUCAAUUUUCAACCUUUGGCUUUUCUGUUUGGAUGUUGAAAUCAUGUUGUGAUCAUGAUUUCUUUCAUUUGCCGCAAUGUGUUUGUUCUAUUUUUUGGUUUUG